rnacentral:rRNA from 1 species
UACGAAGGGGGCUAGCGUUGCUCGGAAUUACUGGGCGUAGAGCGCGCGUAGGCGGACCUGCAAGUCGGGGGUGAAAGCCCGAGGCUCAACCUCGGAACUGCCUUCGAUACUGCGGGUCUCGAGUCCGGGAGAGGUGAGUGGAAUUCCUAGUGUAGAGGUGAAAUUCGUAGAUAUUAGGAAGAACACCAGUGGCGAAGGCGGCUCACUGGCCCGGUACUGACGCUGAGGCGCGAAAGCGUGGGGAGCAAACAGG